UUCAGAAAUCAGAACCACCAUAGAUAGUCCUCCUCCGUCUCCGUCUGUUCUCUCAGUCGAUCUAAGGUUCAUGGCUUCUCCCGAGGAGAUUGAUGAUGAUACAUCAGAGAUUCCAUCCCCGCCAAAGAAAACUUACAAGGAUCCCGA